AGAGAGAGACAUGCGCGCAUAUCAAUAAGCGGAGGAAAAGAAACUAACUAGGAUUCCCCUAGUAACGGCGAGUGAAGCGGGAAGAGCUCAAAUUUGAAAUCUUAAAGGGUUUCCCUUUACGAAUUGUAGUUUAAAGAAGUGUUUUCUGUUGAGGUUUUGGUAAAAGUUCCUUGGAAUAGGACAUCAUAGAGGGUGAGAAUCCCGUAUUUGACCUUUACUUUCAACUUUGUGAUACACUUUCAAAGAGUCGGAUUGUUUGGGAAUGCAGUCCAAAAUGGGUGGUAAAUUUCAUCUAAAGCUAAAUAUUGGCGAGAGACCGAUAGCGAACAAGUACCGUGAGGGAAAGAUGAAAAGAACUUUGAAAAGAGAGUUAAACAGUACGUGAAAUUGUCAAAAGGGAAGCGUUUGACACCAGUGUUGUUUUUCUGAAAAUCAAUUAAAGAACUGUUUAUGCUAAGCUGUUUAGACUUUAUCAGCUAACUGUUUAGUUUUGAGCUUUUCUUUAAUGCACUUUUCAGUUAACAAGUCAACAUCAAUUUCUUUUGCUGUAAAAAAGCUUGAGGAAGGUGGCUUGAGAUUCGUCUUAAGUGUUUAUAGCCUCUUGCCUAUGCAGUCGGAGAGAUUGAGGUCUGCAGCGUAGAUCCUUCGGGGCUAAAUGCAUUUGUGCUAAGUUAUAGCAUUUUAUAGACAACUUGUUGACUAUGAUUUGUCUUGUAGCUUACUCGCUUAUGUUAUUUUACCUACGCUUAGGAUGUUGACGCAUGAGAUAUACGC
rnacentral:rRNA from 1 species